GAUGAACGCUGGCGGCGUGCUUAACACAUGCAAGUCGAACGGACUGAGGGAGCUUGCUCCCAAAGUUAGUGGCGGACGGGUGAGUAACGCGUGGGUAACCUGCCCUAUGCAGGGGGAUAACGUUUGGAAACGAACGCUAAUACCGCAUAAUCUAACUAAGCUGCAUGGCUUGGUUAGCAAAGAUUUUAUCGGCAUAGGAUGGACCCGCGUUGGAUUAGCUAGUUGGUGAGAUAACAGCCCACCAAGGCGACGAUCCAUAGCCGGCCUGAGAGGGUGAACGGCCACACUGGGACUGAGACACGGCCCAGACUCCUACGGGAGGCAGCAGUGGGGAAUAUUGCACAAUGGGCGCAAGCCUGAUGCAGCGACGCCGCGCGAGUGAAGAAGGUUUUCGGAUCGUAAAACUCUGUUGUCAGAGAAGAACAAGUCGGAGAGUAACUGCUCCGGCCUUGACGGUAUCUGACCAGAAAGCCACGGCUAACUAC
rnacentral:rRNA from 1 species